rnacentral:rRNA from 1 species
GAUGAACGCUGGCGGCGUGCCUAAUACAUGCAAGUCGAGCGAACAGACGAGGAGCUUGCUCCUUUGACGUUAGCGGCGGACGGGCGAGUAACACGUAGGUAACCUACCUAUAAGACUGGGAUAACUUCGGGAAACCGGAGCUAAUACCGGAUAAUAUUUCGAACCGCAUGGUUCGAUAGUGAAAGAUGGCUUUGCUAUCACUUAUAGAUGGACCUGCGCCGUAUUAGCUAGUUGGUAAGGUAACGGCUUACCAAGGCAACGAUACGUAGCCGACCUGAGAGGGUGAUCGGCCACACUGGAACUGAGACACGGUCCAGACUCCUACGGGAGGCAGCAGUAGGGAAUCUUCCGCAAAGGGCGAAAGCCUGACGGAGCAACGCCGCGUGAGUGAUGAAGGUCUUCGGAUCGUAAAACUCUGUUAUUAGGGAAGAACAAACGUGUAAGUAACUGUGCACGUCUUGACGGUACCUAAUCAGAAAGCCACGGCUAACUACGUG